GUUGAGCAGCGACUGGGCUGAGUCGCAAAGGGAGGGAGACGGGCGUUCCGGCUCGCCCGCAUCGACGUAGCCUCAUCUCCUCUACGCCUUCCCCCCGGCGGGAAUCCUUCGCCCUCGUCUCCGCCUCUUCCCUUAAUCGCGAGCACGUCACGAUCGGAUCAGGCAUCGCCUCGCCAGCGUCUUCGAUUUGAUCCUCGGGUUAAGCAUCCGUCUCAAGCAUGCUCCCAAUUCUGCUCUCUUCAAUCAGCGGUUGAAGAAUGUGCGGAGCGAAACAGGGUUUUAGCUGGAGGGACAAAUGUCGGCAACGCAAGUUUACAUUCAGGUACACUGUUCUUCUAGGCUGAGAAGAAACUCAUUGUUCUGCUGACAAGUAUCAUGAUAUUUUGUGCCCUAAGAUCAAUUAUGAGCUCGAACAACAGGUGUACAAUCUUUUUACCUGCUACAAUAUUACAUUGGAGAUAUUAGAAGGAUA